GUGUCAGCAGCCGCGGUAACACCGGCAGUUCGAGUGAUGACCGAUAUUAUUGGGCCUAAAGCGUCCGUAGCUGGCUGUGCAAGUCUGUUGGGAAAUCUGCUCGCCCAACGAGCAGGCGUCCGGCAGAAACUGCGCAGCUUGGGACCGAGCGAUCCGAGGGGUACGUCUGGGGUAGGAGUGAAAUCCCGUAAUCCUGGACGGACCACCGAUGGCGAAAGCACCUCGGAAGAUCGGAUCCGACAGUGAGGGACGAAAGCUGGGGUCACGAACCGGAUUAGAAACCCCUGUAGUGC
rnacentral:rRNA from 1 species